GAUGAACGCUGACAGAAUGCUUAACACAUGCAAGUCCACUUGAAUUUGGGUUUUUAACUUAGGUUUGGGUGGCGGACGGGUGAGUAACGCGUAAAGAACUUGCCUCACAGCUAGGGACAACAUUUGGAAACGAAUGCUAAUACCUAAUAUUAUGAUAAUAGGGCAUCCUAUAAUUAUGAAAGCUAUAAGCGCUGUGAGAGAGCUUUGCGUCCCAUUAGCUAGUUGGAGAGGUAACGGCUCACCAAGGCGAUGAUGGGUAGCCGGCCUGAGAGGGUGAUCGGCCACAAGGGGACUGAGACACGGCCCGUACUCCUACGGGAGGAAGCAGUGGGGAAUAUUGGACAAUGGACCGAGAGUCUGAUCCAGCAAUUCUGUGUGCACGAUGAAGUUUUUCGGAAUGUAAAGUGCUUUCAGUUGGGAAGAAACAAAUGACGGUACCAACAGAAGAAGUGACGGCUAAAUACGUG
rnacentral:rRNA from 1 species